rnacentral:rRNA from 1 species
GACGAACGCUGGCGGCGUGCCUAAUACAUGCAAGUCGAACGAGAGCGACCGGUGCUUGCACUGGUCAAUCUAGUGGCGAACGGGUGAGUAACACGUGGGUAACCUGCCCAUCAGAGGGGGAUAACAUCCGGAAACGGAUGCUAAAACCGCAUAGGUCUUCGAACCGCAUGGUUUGAAGAGGAAAAGAGGCGCAAGCUUCUGCUGAUGGAUGGACCCGCGGUGCAUUAGCUAGUUGGUGAGGUAACGGCUCACCAAGGCCGUGAUGCAUAGCCGACCUGAGAGGGUGAUCGGCCACAUUGGGAAUGAGACACGGCCCAAACUCCUACGGGAGGCAGCAGUAGGGAAUCUUCCGCAAUGGACGAAAGUCUGACGGAGCAAAGCCGCGUGAGGGAAGAAGGUUUUCGGAUCGUAAAACUCUGUUGUUAGAGAAGAACAAGUGCUAGAGUAACUGUUAGCGCCUUGACGGUAUCUAACCAGAAAGCCACGGCUAACUACGUG